rnacentral:rRNA from 1 species
AUUGAACGCUGGCGGAAUGCUUUACACAUGCAAGUCGAACGGCAACACGGACUUCGGUCUGGUGGCGAGUGGCGAACGGGUGAGUAAUGUAUCGGAACGUGCCCAGUCGUGGGGGAUAACGUAGUGAAAAUUACGCUAAUACCGCAUACGAUCUAUGGAUGAAAGCGGGGGAUCGCAAGACCUCGCGCGAUUGGAGCGGCCGACAUCAGAUUAGGUAGUUGGUGGGGUAAAGGCCCACCAAGCCAACGAUCUGUAGCUGGUCUGAGAGGACGACCAGCCACACUGGAACUGAGACACGGUCCAGACUCCUACGGGAGGCAGCAGUGGGGAAUUUUGGACAAUGGGCGAAAGCCUGAUCCAGCCAUUCCGCGUGCAGGAUGAAGGCCCUCGGGUUGUAAACUGCUUUUGUACAGAACGAAAAGGUUUCUACUAAUACUAGGAGCUCAUGACGGUACUGUAAGAGUAAGCACCGGCUAACUACGUGCCAGCCGCCGCCGUAACAC